UCCGUAGGCGGGCGUCUAAGUCAGUGGUGAAAUCUUACAGCUCAACUGUAAAAUUGCCAUUGAUACUGGAUGUCUUGAAUUAGUGUGAAGUGGUUAGAAUGUGUAGUGUAGCGGUGAAAUGCAUAGAUAUUACACAGAAUAUCAAUUGCGAAGGCAGAUCACUAACACUAUAUUGACGCUGAGGGACGAAAGCGUGGGGAGCAAACCGGAUUAGAUACCCGUGUAGUCC
rnacentral:rRNA from 1 species